CCUACGGGAGGCAGCAGUGAGGAAUAUUGGUCAAUGGCCGUAAGGCUGAACCAGCCAAGUCGCGUGAAGGAAGACGGAUCUAUGGUUUGUAAACUUCUUUUAUAGGGGAAUAAAGGUAUCCACGUGUGGCUAUUUGCAUGUACCCUAUGAAUAAGCAUCGGCUAACUCCGUGCCAGCAGCCGCGGUAAUACGGAGGAUCCGAGCGUUAUCCGGAUUUAUUGGGUUUAAAGGGAGCGUAGAUGGGUUGUUAAGUCAGUUGUGAAAGUUUGCGGCUCAACCGUAAAAUUGCAAUUGAUACUGACAGUCUUGAGUACAGUUGAGGUAGGCGGAAUUCGUGGUGUAGCGGUGAAAUGCUUAGAUAUCACGAAGAACCCCGAUUGCGAAGGCAGCUUACUAAACUGUGACUGACAUUGAUGCUCGAAAGUGUGGGUAUCAAACAGGAUUAGAUACCCCAGUAGUC
rnacentral:rRNA from 1 species